rnacentral:rRNA from 1 species
UAGAGUUUGAUCCUGGCUCAGGACGAACGCUGGCGGCGUGCUUAACACAUGCAAGUCGAACGAGGCCCAAGCGUCAGCAAUGACGUGGAAGGCCUAGUGGCGAACGGGUGAGUAACACGUGAGGAACCUACCCCGGACUCAGGGAUAACAGACGGAAACAUCUGCUAAUACCUGAUGCCGUCGGAGCAUCACAUGGUGCACUGACGAAAGAAUCUCGGUUCGGGAGGGCCUCGCGGCCUAUCAGCUAGUUGGUGGGGUAACGGCCUACCAAGGCAUCGACGGGUAGCUGGUCUGAGAGGAUGAUCAGCCACACUGGGACUGAGACACGGCCCAGACUCCUACGGGAGGCAGCAGUGGGGAAUCUUGCGCAAUGGGCGAAAGCCUGACGCAGCAACGCCGCGUGCGGGAAGAAGGCCUUAGGGUUGUAAACCGCUUUCAGUAGGAACGAAAAUGACGGUACCUGCAGAAGAAGGUGCGGCCAACUACGUGCCAGCAGCCGCGGUGACACGUAGGCACCAAGCGUUGUCCGGAUUUAUUGGGCGUAAGGAGCUCGUAGGCGGUUCAGUAAGUCGGGUGUGAAAACUCUGGGCUUAACCCAGAGCCGCCACUCGAUACUGCUGUGACUAGAGUUCGGUAGGGGAGCAGGGAAUUCCUAGUGUAGCGGUGAAAUGCGCAGAUAUUAGGAGGAACACCGGUGGCGAAGGCGCUGCUCUGGGCCGAUACUGACGCUGAGGAGCGAAAGCGUGGGUAGCAAACAGGAUUAGAUACCCCUGGUAGUCCACGCCGUAAACGUUGGGCACUAGGUGUGGGGUUCCAACCAACGGAAUCCGCGCCGUCGCUAACGCAUUAAGUGCCCCGCCUGGGGAGUACGGCGGCAACGCUAAAACUCAAAGGAAUUGACGGGGGCCCGCACAAGCAGCGGAGCGUGUUGCUUAAUUCGAUGCAACGCGAAGAACCUUACC